rnacentral:rRNA from 1 species
GAUGAACGCUAGCGGCAGGCCUAAUACAUGCAAGUCGAACGAUAUCAUGCAGCUUGCUGGAUGAGAAAGUGGCGCACGGGUGCGUAACGCGUAUGCAACCUACCUUUAUCAGGGGGAUAGCCCGGAGAAAUCCGGAUUAAUACCGCAUAAAAUCACAGGAUGGCAUUAUCCAAUGAUCAAGCAUUUAUGGGAUAAAGAUGGGCAUGCGUGUCAUUAGCUAGUUGGCGGGGUAACGGCCCACCAAGGCGACGAUGACUAGGGGAUCUGAGAGGAUGGCCCCCCACACUGGUACUGAGACACGGACCAGACUCCUACGGGAGGCAGCAGUAAGGAAUAUUGGUCAAUGGGCGGAAGCCUGAACCAGCCAUGCCGCGUGCAGGAAGACUGCCCUAUGGGUUGUAAACUGCUUUUAUCCGGGAAUAAACCUGCUUACGUGUAAGUAGCUGAAUGUACCGGAAGAAUAAGGAUCGGCUAACUCCGUGCCAGCAGCCGCCGUAA